rnacentral:rRNA from 1 species
GGAUUAGAUACCCUGGUAGUCCACGCCCUAAACGAUGUGCGCUAGAUGUCGGGGGACUUGUCCUUCGGUGUCGGAGCUAACGUGUUAAGCGCACCGCCUGGGGAGUACGGCCGCAAGGUUAAAACUCAAAGGAAUUGACGGGGGCCCGCACAAGCGGUGGAGCAUGUGGUUUAAUUCGACGCAACGCGCAGAACCUUACCAGCCCUUGACAUGUUGGUUAAAGCCGGGCGAGAGCUCGGUGUUCCUUCGGGAGGCCAUCACAGGUGCUGCAUGGCUGUCGUCAGCUCGUGCCG